GCCAGUAUGGUGCAGUGGUUUGAGUGUUGGACUACAACUCUGCAGACUAGGGUUCGAAUCUCCAUUCAGCCA